GAUGAACGCUAGCUACAGGCUUAACACAUGCAAGUCGAGGGGAAACGACAUCGAAAGCUUGCUUUUGAUGGGCGUCGACCGGCGCACGGGUGAGUAACGCGUAUCCAACCUGCCCAUCACUUGGGAAUAACCUUGCGAAAGUAAGACUAAUACCCAAUGACAUCCCUCGAAGACAUCUGAAUGGGAUUAAAGAUUUAUCGGUGAUGGAUGGGGAUGCGUCUGAUUAGCUUGUUGGCGGGGUAACGGCCCACCAAGGCAACGAUCAGUAGGGGUUCUGAGAGGAAGGUCCCCCACAUUGGAACUGAGACACGGUCCAAACUCCUACGGGAGGCAGCAGUGAGGAAUAUUGGUCAAUGGGCGAGAGCCUGAACCAGCCAAGUAGCGUGCAGGAUGACGGCCCUAUGGGUUGUAAACUGCUUUUAUAAGGGAAUAAAGUGGGUCUCGUGAGACUUUUUGCAUGUACCUUAUGAAUAAGGACCGGCUAAUUCCGUG
rnacentral:rRNA from 1 species